rnacentral:lncRNA from 1 species
GCGCGCUUCGACUGGUUUAGCGCGGGGAUAGGCGCUGUCUUCAACAGCAGCGCUAUAAUGCAGCACGUGCGCCGCUCCAGCAGUGUCCAAAAAUCAGCGCGCGCAGCACGCACAAACCACAUAUACAUUUCAAAAAAUAGACGAAAAAAUGAUCAAACAAACAAAAUAAAUCAACAAUAAAUAGUCAUUACAACUCAAACAAAUAGUUUAUCCUUCAGUACAACAAAUAAUGCAAUAAACACAACCAAUAGUUCAUGAACAAUACAAUACAAAUAAUGCAAUAAACACAACCGGCGGCCGGACUAGGAGGGGG